GAGGAAGGGCAGGGAUGCUGGGGAAUCAAGGCGGCAUGGCUGGAAGACACCUUCGACCCCACGAAGUUCUUGGAUGGGAAUUUUACAUGAGACAGGUCAGCUCGGUUGGGUCAUUCACCCUGUGGUCCCUGAGAUGGUUUGGGGAUUGAAAAGUGCUCUGAGUCAUUUGGACAGUGCAACUAUUUCUAACUCUGCAAAUGACUGUUCCCAAAUAGUCCUGGGUCUUGUCAGGGUAGCUGCCUCAUUGCUUUGGUGAAAGGAGAAUCCAUCUGUGGUGGUGCUUCUGGCAUUGUGAGAUGGGGGAGCGGACGCAAGGGUGAGGUUUAUGUCGUGCACUUGAGAUCUUGGCUGUAAAUUAACUCCUUGUCAUUCCCUUCCUCUCCUGCUACCUUUCGGGUAUAUGACAAGCGGCACAGGAGGGAGGCCAUUUCUGUCUGCACAGCUGCGGAUCUCUCGUGAUUACUAAGAGUCUUUGAGCAAAGGAGCAGAAGAGAGUCUGUGGGAAAAAAAGGGCUGAUUCUUGAUCUUGACCAUCGUUCGGCAGACCUGUUCUGUCAAGGGCCAGAAAGUGAAUACUUAUGCUUUGUGGGCCAUAGACUUCUGUGGCGACCUCUCAGCUCAGCCCUGGUGAUGCAGAAGUAGCCACAGGUCAUGUAUAAGCAGAUGAGUGAGGCUGCGCCCCAGCAGCACUUACUUAUAAAACAGUAGCUAAAUUUUGGGAAGCUCCUAUUGCCUUGACUUGAUGUCAUCUAAAGAAAAAGAACAUCGACCAUGAAGGCUCACCAGCAGGCCACAACUCUGUCCAUACCACCCACACUCCGGUUCUAGUUGUCAUUGUCCUCUGUAACACAAGAGGUGUGUCCAGCUGGAAGAGGACACUCGAGCUGUCUUCACCCUGGACUGAACGUGAGGAGUCUCUGGUGUCACACCAUGGGUCCACCACUCCAGAGUGACAAAAGCCCCUCUCUCGGAUGAAGAGCCAUACCAGUGGGAAAUGCAUCUGCCAAACCCUGCAGAUGCACUCUGGCUUCGCCUCCGACAAGACCCUACCGAUGGACGGACACCUGCUUGCCAUGACCCCUAGUUCUCACCAGCACGAUACCCUCAUCCUAGGGGUCGGACCCCUACCCUUCUGACUGGACUUUCCCCAGAGACUUGCCAUUGUUGUGGCUUACGGAAUGACUCAAGUAUUUUACCGCCCUUACUUGUCCACAGGUUUUAUCUGCUGUGGGGCUAGCCACGAUGGUGCCCUCUAAGGUUGUGGACCCCACUUUCAUACACCCUCUGCUGUCACCUCUGACACCUCUGCACUAUGGUUUUCCUGAUCCCAGUCAGUCCUGGUCUUCGGCUCCCCUCACUGCCUUCAGCUUGCCCGACCCAGCGAGGGGCAGGGGGCAAACUCUCGCGUUACCGUAACCGGCAAACGGUUCCCUUGGUUCUCCCCUCCUCAUUGGCCUCCUCUUUAUGCUCCUCACAGUAGCAUUUAGUCCUUGUAUUUUUAAUGCCAUCACCAGGUUUACCACUGCACCAAUUGCCGGGCUCAGAUUCCAGAUGCUCCUUACUCACUACUGCCCUGUAGAUAAUAUAGACGAUGCCCUCUAAACCAGGUGUUUAAAGGGGCAUCAAAGGGGGGAAUGAAAAGGAAAAUCUGUGUUCUGAGGCAGCUGACCAAUCCAGGGGAAUCCCAGUCCCAACCCCAGGGCCAUUCCAGGUUCCCCCCCUAGCCCCACCGACUGCUGCCCCAAGAGUGGCACAGAUACGGAAGUACAAAUGUAUAAAUGACCCCCUUUGUUUGUGCUCGGGGCCCAGACCUUGAGCGAUUACUCUCUUCUGGGCCCACUGGUGUGAAAUAAACCUCCUCCAAGGUCUCCGAGUGCCGUUUGGCUGUUUAGGGCGGGAUCCGGUUUGAGUUCCGAAACACCAGCACCAUCUCUAUCAUCACCACCUACUCAGACCCUAUUCAUCCCUGGGCUUCUCCACCAGACCAUCGGCUCUAGGAGAGCAGCACCAUCGCUGUCUUGUGUAGCUUCUAUGUACACUAUGCAGCCCACAUUAAACGCUCAGUAGGUACGGAUUAAAUUGAAUUCAAGUUCCCUCCUUAUGUACCCUUGUCUAAUACCCUACAGCACUUACAGACUGCACCGUUUUAUUCAAUAUACAUGACACGAUGAUGUAUGGUCUCUUACUCUUGCGCAUUGUAAGCCUUUCAGCCAGAAGCUGAUAUGGAGGCCUGCAAAGGAAGUGCUUUGUGUACCCGUGGGUAGGUAGUGGUCCGUACCUG